UACAGAGGUGGCAAGCGUUGUUCGGAAUUACUGGGCGUAAAGGGCGCGUAGGCGGUCUUGCAAGUCCUGUGUGAAAUCCCUCGGCUCAACUGAGGAAUCGCACGGGAAACUGCUUGGCUUGAGAUCGGGAGAGGGAAGCGGAAUUCCGGGUGUAGCGGUGAAAUGCGUAGAGAGUCCGGAGGAAGACCGGUGGCGAAGGCGGUCUGCUGGGCAGUUUCUGACACUGAGGCGCGACAGCGUGGGGAGCAAACAGG
rnacentral:rRNA from 1 species